GGCAGAUCUCCAGUACGGGCGAGUGAACGGGGAAGAGCCCAGCGCUAAAUCCUGUUGCUCUAACGGGUAACGGGAGGUGUAGCGUAUAGUAACGCGAAUUUCCUUGAUGGCUGUCGACUUAAAUUCUCCUUGACUGGGGUUCCAGAGAAGGUGAAAGGCCUGUUCAGUCGAUGGCCGUCUUGGAUUCCGUUCUACUUGGAGUCGGGUUGUUUGGGAACGCAGCCCAAAUUGGGUGGUAAACUUCAUCUAAGGCUAAAUACGGCCACGAAACCGAUAGCAAACAAGUACCGUGAGGGAAAGUUGAAAAGUACUUUGAAGAGAGAGUUCAAGAGGACGUGAAACCGGUAGGAUGGAAACGGAUAGAGCCAACGAACAAGCCCGUAUUCAGCUAGUCGGCUGCGUGCGGCAUGCCUGUGUGCUCGUUCAGGGUGCAUGGGUGUGUGCGGUAUGCGGUCGGCUAGUGCAUUUGCGGGUGAUGUGCGCUGAGGCGUGUGGCGGAGUCCUGCAAACUGUCUGGAGAGGCCUCGCCUUCGGGCUUGAAACCUACAGGCGGGGAGUAGGGUUUCUGCUGCAUGUAGACGAAGCGACUAGGUGCAAACGCGCUGUCGUGCUGCCGGGCUAGCUGCUUGGCCGGUCGCAUGCGACUAGGUCUUGUUGGUUGGUCUUGGUGGUGCGGCAGUGCCCUGGUCGACCCUCGGUGUAAAAGUUGGUCAUCUCUCCGACCCGUCUUGAAACACGGAUAGCUCUCUCUCCCCCCACUUCCGUGCUCCCUAUCCCAGCAUGACUGACCUCGCUAUUUAUCCUUAUCACUGUUUUCAUCAUGCACAGCGCCUAAUAAGUGCCGAUAGGAAGUAGUGAGAUAUAAAGUCUAAAACGGCGGAGGAGAGCUCGGUUGUGAGUGUAAGAUUUGUGUUUUGUCUGCGGUUGGGGCGGG
rnacentral:rRNA from 1 species